GAUGAACGCUAGCGGCAGGCCUAACACAUGCAAGUCGAGGGGUAGAAGUUGCUUGCAACUUUGAGACCGGCGCACGGGUGCGUAACGCGUAUGCAAUCUGCCUUGUACUGAGGGAUAGCCCAGAGAAAUUUGGAUUAAUACCUCAUAGCAUUAUGAUGUUGCAUCACAUUAUAAUUAAAGUUCCAACGGUACAAGAUGAGCAUGCGUCCCAUUAGUUAGUUGGUAAGGUAACGGGUUACCAAGACGAUGAUGGGUAGGGGUCCUGAGAGGGAGAUCCCCCCCGCUGGUACUGUGACACGGACCAGACUCCUACGGGAGGCAGCAGUGAGGAAUAUUGUUCAAUGGGCGCAAGCCUGAACCAGCCAUGCCGCGUGCAGGAUGACGCAUCUAUGGUGUGUAAACUGCUUUUGUACAGGAAGAAACACUCCCUCGUGAGGGAGCUUGACGGUACUGUAAGAAUAAGGAUCGGCUAACUCCGUGCCAGCCGCCGCCGUAA
rnacentral:rRNA from 1 species